UUUUGGGGAGUUUUUUUUGUUGUUUCUUUUCCAUAGGAAUUAGAGGUUAUCCUUUGUGCAUAAAUUCAUUGCAAUUUAUUUUUUUAAAACAAUAAUUUUCAACUAAAAAAGACUCUUUUAAUAAGACUUAAUGGCUAGAAAAUUGAAUUUUAGCCAAUUAUAAUAUUCAUAGGAGAGGCAAUCCCAAAUGUGCUCUUUAAGGGAGCUGGUAUCAUUGGUUGUUAGGUCAAUUAUCUAAUCUUGAAUUUUUAAAAUCGUUGUGGGUUUAAGGUGCUACAUUUGUGUGUUCUUUUUUAUUUCAUCUAUUUUGGUCAGUGAAAAGCAGGCCCCAAACUAACUGUCUCAUUAUUGUAUCAUCACAGUUUAUAGUAGAUUAAUACUUUGUUUAUAGUAUUUAAUAACUUCUGAAAAACUAGGAGAGUGUAAAUACUAAACAAAGGAAAUAGGUUUUUUCAAUGCAGAUUACUAAAUCAUUGAGUAAAUAUUUAUUGAAUGCAAAAUCUUGGGCAAAAGAUGAAGGAAGAGAAAUUGAAUUGCCCCUCAAGGAAAUUGUACUACAGUAGUCGGUUUUUCUUAACUGCUAGCUUUAAAAGAUUAAAAUGAAAUAUUCAGACCAUAGGGUUCUUAAUUUAUAAUACUUAAGCAGGAUGUUUAACAUAGACUUAAGUUCAAAAUUCUGUUUAAAAUAGACACAAAUGUAAUUGUCUUCAAAACAGCAUUACAUUAAGGAUCUGUGUUAGGAUUAGUAUUACUCAAAGUGCUGUAAAAACAAUGCCAUUUAAAUCACAUCCUUUGAAGAUUCAGAUCCACAAAAAAUAUGAUUCCAGUAAUUAAAUUUAAUUUUGGGAAAUGCAUAGGGGGAUGUUCAGUGAAUGUAAAAAAUAGGCUACUUGAGCACACAAACAGAAAUUGUUCUAAUGAAUUUUGAUUUUCUGUUUCAAUUUUUUGGUACAUUGACUCUUCUGACAUUGCACUUUGCUAUUAAUUAAAAAAAAUUAAACCCCAAAGACAAAUUAAUUCCAUAUUUAAUGCAGAUUUAAUUCAUGACUAGCUGUAAAGCUUAAGGAAUUGGCAGUCUUUUUGGUGAAACAAUAAAAUAGGAAUUAAGCAGAAAUGCAAAACUAUAUAAUAAUUAGGUUUCAUAAAAGUAUAUAUAGUUUUCCUUUUAUAACUAUAGGAGUCAAGAUAGUAUUAAUAUAAUUUUUUAGGCCACAUCAGGUUCUUGUAACUUAUCUGUGGCUCCAAUGUGUGAUAAUUGGAACUUUUAAGAAUACUAACCUCAGAGUGCAAUUCAGUAUACCUUUUUUAAAAGAGUUAACUACUUCAGUCCUAAACUGAGCCUAUUUCAAAUUGCUCAAUGGAUAUUUUAUUUUAAUUUAUUUUUGCUUUUUAGGGCUGCACGCACAGCAUAUGGAGGUUCACAGGCUAGGAGUCCAAUCGGAGCUACAGCUGCUGGGCUACACCACCGCUCACAGCAACGCCAGAUCUUUAACCCACUGAGCGAGCCCAGGGGUCAAACCCGAAACCUCAUUGUUUCUAGUCGGGUUCGUUUCUGCUGUGCCAUGACAGGAAGAUAUUUUAAUAGAUAUUUUAAUACAUUAAUUAUUUCUUUGCCCUUUUUUUGUUUGUAGAUCCUUAUAUGCCUACUUACCCAUAUUCAAAAAUCCCCAAUUCCAUUGUCUUUGAGAGAGGGGGAGGGUUAGUGCUCCUUCGUGUUUUACAUAUAUGUUUACAUUAAGACUUAGGCCCACUCCCUACUGAACCAAAGGGAAAGGGAAUAUUUGAAAGAAAACAUAUAUUUUACUCAGACUCCAAUAAUUAGGCUAAUGUAGUUGAUUUAUGUCAUACAUUGAGAUCAUUCUUAAAAGGUAAACAUUUUACAGUAGGCCUCCAGGCUCACAAAUCAGUGCUUUUUCUACAAAACAUUCUUUCUGUCUUGCUAAUGAAAUCCAAUUUCCAGAAUCAUAGUGAGUUGUUAAGCAAAUAUGCAUAAAACCAUAAAUUUAUCUGAAUCAUUUAUUAUUUAAAGAAUAGUAUAUAAAAAUUUAAACAGAAAUCAUUGAUCAGUGAAAAGCGAUAGAAAAUAAAAUAAAAAUAGAAUUAUGGUAAAAUAAGCUAAAAGACCUUUCUUUAGGGAAUUACUGGGGAAAGUGAGCUCAAAUAGGAGACCUGGGGGGCCUGCUGUAUAGCACAGGGAACCAUGCUCAAUAAUAUUUUGUAAUAACCUAUAAGGGAAAAGUAUCUGAAUCACUGCCAUACAGCUGAUGCCAUACAGCUGAAACCAACAUGACAUUAUAAAAUGUAACUACUUCAAUUUAAAAAAAAAAUGCAGGAACUUCCCUUAUCACUUACUAUUAGACUUUCUUUGCCAAUGUGCACCUCUUGUUUAAAAACCAAGUAAAAAUAUUUGAAAUGAGUCUUUUAAAGCUACAACUUAUAUAACAUUUAUAUAUAUAUCACUGCUGUAUAUAGACUAACAUUUUAACCUCACUACAGUAACUUGUACAAUUUUAUAACUGCUAAAUGCCCUACAAAAAGCUAUCAGCCCAUUGUCAACUGAAGGAAAAAAAAAAGCAAACCCCAAAAUUGAAAAUUAUGGUUUUUUUGAGGGACUUACUGAGGACUUAAGCCCAGAAGACAGCCUCUCAGAGGAACUCUCAGAGGGACUCUUUGGAGCUGGAAUAUAUAACAGUUUUUGCAACAAAAACCCAGGUAGUUGGAGCAUCAAAAGAUCACUGUUAAUUAAAGAAAAACCAGACAUCUCACUGAAGUUAAUGUAUUUAGCACUCUUCUCUAUAUGGGAAGAUAUAAGAAUUUGGGCUCACUGAAAUCAUUCCUCUGAUAUGCAUCUUAAUUAUCUAGGGCUAGUAUCCUGUUUCCCUCCCUCCUAAAUCCCCUCAGGGUGAACAGUUGGGAGCUGCUGGAGUGACUGAUGGCUUGAUGGCAUAACAUUCUUUGUUUACUGAUAUGAGAGGGGACAUUUUUCAUCAACACCAUGUAGAUAGGAGUUUCUUCCUUAGUGUUUUGUGGUAAUUGAGAAGAAAUCAGCAUUUAAGGAAUAUAUUAUUAUUGUAGUUUUUGAGUUUCCAAAGCCAAGAAUAUAAGAGCAGUAUCUAGGUACAGAUCCAUUAUUUUAGGAAAGAUAGUUUUACUCAGUCUGGUAACCGAUGCUUCUCAACUUAUAAUCAAGACUCAAUAAUCAAACCAGAAAGUUCAGGAAGAAAAGAGUAGCAAGUAUCAACCCUCAGAACUUGCUCAUAUCACAUACUUGUCAUUUUGGUGGUGGAUAUUUGCCGGUCUUCUCUGAUGAAAGAGAGAUUAGCAGUCCUGGUUUCUCUUGUGUUGACUGGCAGGUCUCAAGUAAAGAUUUAUUUUCCAAGAAGAAAAGCAAUUAGGGAGGUUUCUUGCAGAAGGAUUUUCAGAGCCGAAAAUCAGCCUUAAAAAUGCUGUAGUUUUUGGACCCAGUUCGGAAGUGGCCAAGACCAAACCUCAAAGCAUGAAAGCAAAUGUUGAGUAGAGGAGACAUUAUACUCAUUAAGAACUAUCAAAUGAAUCAGAGGCAAGACUUCCUAUUGACAGGCAAGUUAAGUGCUGUUUUCUGGAACUUUUAGUUGGUGCCUGGUGGAUUCUCUUGGAAUAGGUCUGGAAGGUUUUUUGGACAUAUUUGAAACAUGAGGUUGAAAUUUCCUCACUAGAAGGCCGGGGUAAGGACAAAAGAUCUGCCAGCUAUCAGAUAGACCCAGCACUGGUCUGGUGAUUCAAGUAGGAAGUGUCCAAGAAACUUUCUUCUGGAAUGUUGUGUCUACAAGAAACAAAAGAUUAAUACGUUGUUUGAUGAGUAAGAGAGUCAUCUUCUUAAAGCAUAGAUCCAAUACAGAAGAGCUUUGUGCCUGACAAAUAGGAAGACUUUUAGGUGAGGUACAGGCCAUGUCUUCCACUAAUGAACCUAGAUGGGAAUGAGGUGUGAUGGAUACCUGAAAAUUUCCUAGGCCGUUAGUAUUUUAUGAGUUAAAAAUAAUCCAAUAUGAUUGCUGAAAAUUUCUUUUGAAAAAUGAGAGUAUGUGCCUGCCACUUUUGGUUUAGUUUCUUUAGAGUCCCAUACUAGAUAUUACACUGUCUCUAUUGUUUCUCGAUGGAGGAACAGCAAAGGCUUUAAAAGGUCUGUAGGGCUUUAUAAACUCCAUUUAAAUCUAUCUGAAAAAGUGUAUUCCCUAAUAAUUACCAAAAUGCUAUUGUUAGGUAUUGGUGUUAAAAGACUUUGCCACGUCACGUCAGCUCUUGCUUAUAAGUAUGUUACUACCUAUCCUGCAAAGGUACACAUAAUCGCUAAAACAUAUCCUCAUGAAAAACACAUAUAAUAUUAACUGGAAUAUUUGCAGAAGGCUCCUAAGGGGGGUGAAUUGUAUUUAUUUAUUUAUUUAUUUAUUCAUGCAUUCUUUGUUUUUUUUCCUUGUUUUGUUUUGUUUUUGCUUUCUACAGCCGCACCCUGUGGCUUAUAGAAAUUCCCAGGCUAGGGUUGAAUCAGAACUGCAGCUGCCGGCCUACCCCACAGCCACAGCAACACAGGAUCUGAGCUGCAUCUGCAACCUACACCACAGCUCACAGCAACACCAGAUCCUUAGCCCACUGAGCAGAGGCAGGGAUCGAACCCAUAUCCUCAUGGAUACUGUUCAGGUUCAUUACUGCUGAGUCACAAGGAGAACUCCCAUUCAUUCUGUCUUUAAAUUUAAUUUGCUACCUGAUCUUGAAAAGGUAUAACAUCUGAAUGAGUUAGCAGAGAAAACCAGUUGGUUGAUAAUGAGCAAGGAAGAGUGAAGGAGAAAUCACCACAGCCUUACUUUAGUGAGAAUAGCAUUUUGUAAUAGCCAAGCUGAAGAGACUGUAAGGCCUGCUAGAUGUCUUAGCUCCUUCAGAAGUGAGGAAACCUUUUCAUUUUGCAGUUUUCUUCAAGAACUACCCCAAAGCUUGAGGUUAAUCUGUAAAUUAUGACUUUUAAGAGGUAAAAGUAUAAUCUCAAGUAAGGACAGCACUUUCUGCCACCUAGGAAAACUAUGGAGAAAGCAAAAUCUUACUACUUUGUGUUGAAAAGAGACUGCACAUCCAGAGACCAAUUUGGUUGUUUUUUUUUGUUUUUUUUUCUGAGCUACCAGUUCCCUCUUCAAUAUUAUACACAAGUGUUUUUAGUCGUAGCGCCUGUUACUAAUUAAACAAGUUGAGAUAGCAAAAACUCUUUAAAGUAGAAAUCAUAUCUAACCAGAGAUGUGUGUAUAAGUGUGUAUGACCAUAUAUUUGCAAGAAAAGGAAUGUGCCAAUGAUUUUCUUCCUCAUCUUAAAAAAUAAAUUUGCAAGAAAAUUUCAGAAAUCAGAAUGUUAUUUUAAAUAUUAACAAGGUGUCAAAUUAUUAAACCAGGCAAUCAGAAUCACAGACUUUAAAAGGUAUAAGUUAUUUUCCAGGCUAUAGCAACACUGAAAUUCGGAGGUCUGAUAGUACUAUUUUUAAAAAAAUACUUGUAAAGUCAGUUUUAUGACGUUGAAUAGAAUGUGUUUACUUUUCUGCAGUUAAGAGGAAGAGAGUGUAUUUUCCAAUUUUACUCUUGCUAAGAUUCAUUUAUUAAAGGAGCAGUUAGAAGUGCCUAAAUACUGGAGUUUAUGUCGUGUCACAGUGGUUAACGAAUCUGACUAGGAACCAUGAGGUUGCGGGUUCGAUCCCUGGCCUUGCUCAGUGUGUUAGGUAUCCGGUGUUGCCGUGAGCUGUGGUGUAGGUUGCAGACGUGGCUGGGAUCCCUUGUUGCUGUGGCUACAGCUCCGAUUGGACCCCUAGUCUGGAACCUCCACAUGUUGCUGAUGCAGCCUUAAAAAGACCAAAAAAAUUUUUUUUAAUUAAAAGAGUGCUAAAUACCAGAUUUCCACAAGCUAACAUCAAGAGUGAAGAUCAGGUACAAACUUAACAUUUAGAAGAAGACAGAAAUAAUGAAUGUUAACAAAUGGAAUACAGAACAUGUAAUGUCUUUCCUGUGCAUGUAAUUAGGAAUAUAAAGUUUAUUGCAGAUUAAAAUAUGUUUGAAACAGUCUAAAUAGUAUAUAUACUUGAAGUAGAUUUUGGUAAAAUGAUUGUAUAUUUAAAUCACCUGUUUCUUAAAUUGUAUGGUUAUUUUUAGUCUUUAUAGACCAUAAUUUACAGUUAUAGAUCAUUUUCUGUGGUAUGGGAAAGCUAUUUGUUGUUUUCCCUCCUCCCUCUUAACUCUGUCUCUCAUUAUUUUUAUGAUUCCCAAGAAUUUGCAAACUUGCUCUUUCAUGUUUUCUGAAAAUGUGAAAAGUGUUAAAAAUUUAUGUUUUCAGUGCCUUAGGAAGUAUGUAGGAAUACAUUUUUUAAAACCGUGUGCCCAAAUCAGCAUUUUCUAAAGUGUCAUGAUCUGUUUACAGGUGUUAGGUGAAAAAAGAUGCAGUUACAUAAUUUUGUGAAAUGCCAAAUUAAGUUAAAUUUUUUUCUGUAAGACUUAAGUUGCCCAAGCCUUCACUUAUUCUUUGUAAUCCCAUAUUACAUAUAACCAAUAUAAUGCUCAGUAUAUACUUUUGAAUAAGUUAAUACACAUCUAACAACUCCAAAGUUCAUUUUUUUAUUGUUUAUCCUUUUGAAUUUUAUUCCAUGUUCUUUGAACUACCACUCAAAAACAUCAACAAACAUUAUUUUUAAAGUUCUGCUUACUAGAUAGAACUAUCAAAUAUUUCAGCUUUCUCAGGAGUUCCCGUUGUGGUACAGUGGAAACUAAUCUGACUAGGAACCAUGAGGUGGCGGGUUCGAUCCCUGGCCUCGCUUAGUGGGUUAAGGAUCCGGCAUUGCCUUGCUUAGUGGGUUAAGGAUCCGGCAUUGCCGUGAGCUGUGGUGUAGAUCACAGACUCAGCUCGGAUCUGGCUGUGGCUGUGGUGUAGGCCAGCAGCUUCAACUCCGAUUCAACCCCUAGCUUGGGAAGAUUCGACCCCUAGCCUAGGAACCUCCAUAUGCCACGGGUAUGGCCCUAAAAAGAUUAAAAAAAAAAAA
rnacentral:lncRNA from 1 species